GACGUAGGAGGCGAGCGUUAUCCGGAUUCACUGGGCGUAAAGCGCAUGUAGGCGGUUCGAUAAGUCCGCUGUUAAAGCCCCCGGCUCAACUGGGGGAGGUCAGUGGAGACUAUAGGACUUGAGGGCAACAGAGGCACGUGGAACUCCCGGUGUAGCGGUGGAAUGCGUAGAGAUCGGGAAGAACACCAGUGUCGAAGGCGACGUGCUGGGUUGCGACUGACGCUGAGAUGCGAAAGUGUGGGGAGCAAACGGG
rnacentral:rRNA from 1 species